rnacentral:rRNA from 1 species
CCUACGGUGUGCUGCAGUGGGGAAUAUUGGGCAAUGGGCGCAAGCCUGACCCAGCAACGCCGCGUGAAGGAAGAAGGCCCUAGGGUUGUAAACUUCUUUUAUUCGGGACGAAACAAAUGACGGUACCGAAUGAAUAAGCCACUGCUAACUACGUGCCAGCAGCCGCGGUAAUACGGAGGUGGCAAGCGUUAGCCGGAUUUACUGGGUGUAAAGGGCGUGUAGGGGGGAGAGCAAGUCAGAAGGUAAAUUCCAGGGCUCAACCCGGGAACUGGGUUUGAAACUGUUCUUCUUGAGGGAUGGGGAGGCAGGCGGAAUUCCGUGUGUAGCGGUGAAAUGCGGAGAUAUAAGGAAGAACACCAGUGGCGAAGGCAGCCUGCUAGACAUUAACGGACGCUGAGGCGCGAAAGCGUGGGGAGCAAACAGGAUUAGAUACCCUUGUAGUC